AAGUAACAUUCACAUUAGACCUAUUCAAACACAAUGAAGCAGAACAGUGUGGCAACUGCCGACGCCAUUGAUUAUGCAAUGUAAGGCAUAUUUCUUGCAAAUUUCACGAUUUUUUUUCGAAUUUCUACGAACUCGCAAUGGUUUUUUCUAAUACAAAGCUCUGCAGCAUUUUUACCACGUGAUCAACGAGGCCGCACCUUUCCAUUUUGACUUUUAAAUUUCCUUUACGGCACGAGGUGUGGAGACAUUCACAUUCACCAGGUGAAAUCGCUUGUGGCCUUGUGUUACUUGGGAAACUUUGUCAUUGAAGAAGCUUUUUGCAGCAAAUCAUGCAAAGAUUUGGCCUGCUGUCGCAGUUUGGGAACUUCCAGAUAACUCUGCCUAAUCUAUCUAGUAAAAUAAAAAUUUUGCAUCUCCCUUCCGCUAGCAAAAAUUGCACAGGCUGCUCCAAUCACUCAUCAGAACGCCAGACAAGUAAGGCUCGGCCACACGUCUAUCGGAUAGUGUUUUGAAUUUCGGUGUUGUUCUAUCGGAUUUGGAUGAAUCUCUUUUUUUGUCCCAUGGGUAUUAACUUUGGUUUUGGCUUCUAAUCGGUACAUGGAAAAAAAAUCAUAAAUAAACAAACCGUUAAAAAAUUCCAAAAGUUUCAUACCCCGAUUAUCGCUUUUUGCCCCGACUUCUAUCCAAUUUCUUAUCUAGAAAUUUGAUUAUGGUUCAAAGAUUAUGUAACAGGUUGCAUUUUUUAUUUUCGAGAGACAAGAACAAAAGGAAUGAAGCAAAAGUUCUUCAAUUUUUUAGUGUAAAAAGUUGUAGUUAGGGAUCGGCCCCGACCCUAAUCGGGGUGCAUUUUGCCAAUCGGGUUUAGAAAUUCGGGGCUCGGGGUGAACAUCUUUGAACCCCGAUCUCAAUAGGGGUUGUAUCGGGGUGACUAAUCGGGGAUGCAACCCCGAUUGCAAUCAAUCGAGCGACGUAAAAACAUAAUCGAUCGAAUUGAAAUCGAUUAUUAUGAUGAAAAUUGGGGAGUUCGCCCCGGUUGCUCCCAUAAAAACCCGACCCAAAUCGUAGUUUGAAUUCAGGGGCCAUUUUUGCAAAUGGCGUCGGGGCAAGCUGGUUAACAUCGAUUUUUGCCCCACCCCGCCCUUGCUGACGAAGUGGCACCCCGAUUCAGCCCCGAUUGCUUUUUCCCGGGGCGGGGCGGUUAACCCGAUUAUGGCUAAUCGGGGCCGAUCGCUAGUUGUAGUUCUUGUUUUGAGAGGCUAGCAUGAAAAAAAUAACGCAACAGUGCUUAAAUUGACAUCCAACGUUGCCACUUACAUUUAUCACAACUCCAUCUCGUUCAGGUACCUGAACUCUACCAGAGUUAUAUCUAUAGGCAGAGUCAUAGAACCCUGGUUGGUUCACGCUGAGAGGAAUCCCUAUACCGCGUUUCGUUGGUCUGUAUGUCUAAAAUUUCGAUGGUUUUGGGGCGGGGCAUAGUGGUUUGAACUAGAAUCAGAGUCAUCUAUCGAGAAAAACUGAGUUAUUCAACGGCCAUUGUCGGUGUUUCUUUUCAAGCUUCAAUUUUGCUGGUGUCGUCUGCUCCUUCGUUUCCCUUAUCACUGUUGUGAUUGGCUGUUGAAGUUUUCAAACAUGUUUCCUGAUUGAUGCAUUCAUCACACACCCGCUGGAGGUGUGACCCCGAUUGAGAUCAGGGUUCACAAAUUUCCCCCCCGAGCCCUAAACACUCCGCCCUGAGUUUCGAAACCCGAUUGGAAAAAUGCGCCCCGAUUAGGGUCGGGACCGAUCCCUAGUCACAGGGCUUAGCGACAUCUUUUUUCGCAUUUGAUUCUAUCGCGCAACGCAUUAUUCGACGGCCAAUUCUGUCUGCUAUAACUGUAUUUUAAUAAAUUUUUAACCAAUUGUUUUCCCGAUUAUGAUUUUCAUUGGGGCAGGAAAUUCCCUGAGACCCGUCAAACCAUUGAGAGAUCCUUUUAAAGUGACCAUUUAACAGAAAUGAUACUUUUUGAUGAGGGCUAUCCAUUUCCGUAAAAUUUUUCUAUUCCAUAUUUACAUUUUUACGGAUAACGUUAAGUUAUUAAUACAUAUUAUACGUAGUAUAUAGGAUAUAUAGGAUGUAAAUGCAUAGGGAUAUAUAUAAUAUAUAGGACGUAAUAUAUAGGAAUAAUACGUAUUAUAUAUUUUAUACCAAUAAUACGUAGUAACACGUAAACUGUUUACGGAUUAAAUGUGAAGUAUUGAAUCGUUAAAGAACCGGAAAAGAAUCGAUUCUUUGGAAGGCCCUAUCCUUUAGUAUUGGUGUAUUUAUCGUCUGCACGUCAACAAGGUGUCUGAGACGGCGUCUUAACGUGCAGACGAUAAAUCACCCAAAAGAGUGCAUACCCUUAAUGCUUAAGGCCUGUAAACUCGUAUACCUCCUAUGGCGGUGACGCGUUACCUGGCAACAAGGCCAACAACUAAUCAUUGGAAAAACAAGGGUUACGACGACACCAUCUGGCGCUCGCUAUUGCUACUGCUUCGAAAACCUAAAUGCAAGAUUAAGCAAAAACAGGGUUUCCUUGUAUUUUUUAAUUAAGAGUAUCUUAGAAUCCUUAACUUUUAGUUAAAGAAUUCCAGUAAGUGUAGAAAAUUACCUCUUUGAAAAAGAUUUGUGUCCACUAAGUAAUAUUUUCAUCAUUACAUUUCAACAUUUCAAUCGAAUUUGCAUCGGUAUUGGGAUGGUGGAUAAGGACUCCGUCUAGAGAUUUAUGGAUAUGAGUAUGUCGGUUGAAGUCUAUAUUAUUGUAAGGAUCCGCCGACCAAAUCAAAAUUCAAACGGUAAAAUUUAACGCGUUGCUUUUAUUGCCCUGUUUUGACCCCAAAUUUGUUGCCCCGAAUGACCGACUUUCUACUUUUAUUACUCUAACGGUAAAGUCAGCCUUCUUCCGCCGACCUUAUAUUUUUGAACACGCCUGACCUCGUUUGACUUUAAAUUCGACUCUCUGCGUUGCCGUAUAAAAGACGGACAAACUUCACCAGCGAAGGUGGAGUCACCAGUCGAACAGCGAGGCAGUCAGUGAGUCAGUCUUCCUCCCUCCGUCUGUUACCUUUUCCCUUUUGUUUUUGCCGCUGUGUUUUGAAAUGUAAUUGGUGUCAAAUUUAAAUAAACAUCAUCACCCCAAUUGUUUCAUUAUGUCAUGUUAUCAAUGUGAGUAAAAUUUUAUAAAUUUUUAAUUUUAUCUCUAAGUGAAAAUGUUUAAUCCGUUUAUAGAUUUUUUCCCUAAGUGAUUAAUUCAGUUAACUACAAGAACAAGAAGUAAAUUUUUCAUUAACAUGAUAAUAAAACUUAUAUAUUUUUUACAUACUAUUUUUUUCUUUUAAACAACUCAAUUGACAUCUUGCUGUCAAACUAGCACACUUUUCAUUUCAAAAAUUUGAUUUCCUUUUGUUUUAUCUUUAUUCAUGUGUUUAUGUAACUAUAACAAGUGUUAAAGUUUUUUUGGGGUAUUUUUCAACGAGGCUAUAAUUGCGAGCGCCAGAUGGUGUCGUCGUAACCCUUCGUAACCCUUUUUUUGCAACAUGGUCUCCACGUACGUACGCAGAGGUCCGUACCAGAAAACGGCACCAUUUCCAGGGUUUUCAUUGGCUCAGUGGGAUGGUCACGUGACCAUUCUUUCAAGCCACGCAGUGGUGGGUAGGCCCCUAGUCCCUACCCCCGAAAUCUCAGCAGCCGCCGUCGCAUUUGAACCGGCAAUUGUUUUGUUUUUUCGUUUAUUGUCAUUUUCGUUUUUAAUGGCGGAUUGCUGUCAUUUAAAAUGAAUAAAUUUAUUACUUUUGGAAAAGGGCCGACUGCUCGUGAAGAGAACGAUGGAAUUUAUAGAUUCGGCUGGGAAACUUGUCGAGAAAGCUUUUUUGCUUUUUUAGAUAAACUGACAGGAGAGUUUGGUACCUUCUCAAACAGGCAUAAUUUCAAUCUAAUAGA